rnacentral:rRNA from 1 species
UACGUAGGGGGCAAGCGUUGUCCGGAUUUAUUGGGCGUAAAGCGCGUGUAGGCGGCUUGGCAGGUCAGCUGUGAAAACUCGAGGCUCAACCUCGAGCUGUCGGUUGAAACCACCUUGCUAGAGUCCGGAAGAGGAGAGUGGAAUUCCUGGUGUAGCGGUGAAAUGCGCAGAUAUCAGGAAGAACACCAAUGGCGAAGGCAGCUCUCUGGGACGGUACUGACGCUGAGACGCGAAAGCGUGGG